rnacentral:rRNA from 1 species
UACGUAGGGGGCAAGCGUUGUCCGGAUUUAUUGGGCGUAAAGAGCGUGUAGGCGGCUAGGUAGGUCCGUUGUGAAAGUCAAAGGCUCAACCUUUGAACGCCGAUGGAUACUGCCGGGCUAGAGUCCGGAAGAGGCGAGUGGAAUUCCUGGUGUAGCGGUGGAAUGCGCAGAUAUCAGGAGGAACACCGGUGGCGAAGGCGGGAUCCUGGGCCAGUACUGACGCUGAGGAGCGAAAGCGUGGGGAGCAAACAGGG